CCUACGGGAGGCAGCAGUGGGGAAUAUUGGACAAUGGGGGGAACCCUGAUCCAGCCAUGCCGCGUGUGUGAAGAAGGCCCUCGGGUUGUAAAGCACUUUCAGUGAGGAAGAACGCCUGGUGGUUAAUACCCAUCAGGAAAGACAUCACUCACAGAAGAAGCACCGGCUAACUCCGUGCCAGCAGCCGCGGUAAUACGGAGGGUGCGAGCGUUAAUCGGAAUUACUGGGCGUAAAGCGCGCGUAGGUGGCUUGAUAAGCCGGUUGUGAAAGCCCCGGGCUCAACCUGGGAACGGCAUCCGGAACUGUCAAGCUAGAGAGCAGGAGAGGAAGGUAGAAUUCCCGGUGUAGCGGUGAAAUGCGUAGAGAUCGGGAGGAAUACCAGUGGCGAAGGCGGCCUUCUGGACUGACACUGACACUGAGGUGCGAAAGCGUGGGUAGCAAACAGGAUUAGAUACCCCAGUAGUC
rnacentral:rRNA from 1 species